CACAGCAAUAUAUCCAAUUUCACGCAAGAAUAAACUUUGAUAGUGGUUUCGAAGUUAUGUUCAAAUAUAGAAUUUUUAGUGUCUCGCAGACGCCUCGGGGACUACCUGACUUUGGAAGUUUAUUUUUUCGCAAUAUAAAACGCCAGAAACACACCCACUAACAUGGACAUGUACUGCGGUAGCUGCAUUGUAUGGUUGUUCCCUAUUCGUUUGUCCCAUCGUAUAAAACACAAAGGUGCACCUGCACAUUCUCAUCUGUUCCCAUUAUAUACGUUACCAGCAAUAUCUACGUUAUCGAGCUGUAGACGUUAUCCAUAUUCCUAAAGCCUGGGGAUGAAAGCUGUCGCUGCAAAGCUCAAGUCAGCAUAAUUGAGAAGUCUUUUUUCAUAAAGGAUCUUGGAUACUUUAUAUUAAGAAAUCAAAGUGUAUAUUUUUUUAUUAUUUCGGAUCUGACUAUUUCAGAUUGCUUCAUUGCAACCUCAAAAUAAGUAUAGGAUAAAAUACCCAUUUCUCAAAUUCGCGUUUUUAUA